CAACAUGGCUAGUAGAUCAAUUAAAAACCUGACUGAACCAGCUAGAAACCAUUUCCAAAUUUGUUGCGCUAACAACUUAAAUUGGAUUUCCAGCAGGAAUGUGGACAUUUUUAUGGUUAAUUUAAUUUGAUACAAACACUCAUUAUUGUAAACACUUUUUUUUUUUUCACAGAAAUGAUGGCCAAGUGCAUUGUAUUGACUGCUAUAGCGAUGUUGGCGGUGGCAUGUGUGGCCUCUCCUCUGUACAAAGACACAGCUGCGAACACAAAGGCGAAGGAACAGUUUCCGGAGAGACCGCCUGAGACACCCGAGAGACUGGAGUCCCGUGUGAGUCGUUCCGUGCAUAUACCGGCGGAUCAGCGCGAGCUCGUGUCCCGGCAACUCUUACAGGCACUAUCAGAAAUCAUCCAACGGGAGGACUGCGUUACAGAUUAUCAAGGCUGGGUAGAUUUUGGGCGCCGGAG